rnacentral:rRNA from 1 species
UGGGGAAUCUUGGACAAUGGGCGCAAGCCUGAUCCAGCCAUGCCGCGUGAGUGAUGAAGGCCUUAGGGUUGUAAAGCUCUUUUGGCGGGGACGAUAAUGACGGUACCCGCAGAAUAAGUCCCGGCUAACUUCGUGCCAGCAGCCGCGGUAAUACGAAGGGGACUAGCGUUGUUCGGAAUCACUGGGCGUAAAGCGCACGUAGGCGGAUUUGUAAGUCAGGGGUGAAAUCCCGGGGCUCAACCUCGGAACUGCCUUUGAUACUGGCUGUCUCGAGGUCGAGAGAGGUUGGUGGAAUUCCUAGUGUAGAGGUGAAAUUCGUAGAUAUUAGGAAGAACACCAGUGGCGAAGGCGGCCAACUGGCUCGAUACUGACGCUGAGGUGCGAAAGCGUGGGGAGCAAACAGGAUUAGAUACCCUAGUAGUCCCUGAGCGGGCUGGCAAGGCGCAU